UAACCCUCAAGCCUAGCUUGGUGUUGGGGCUUGCUGUUACCGGCAGCCCUUAAAACUAGUGGCGGUGCCACCUGGCUCUAAGCGUAGUAAUACUUCUCGCUAUAGAGUCCCGGUGGAUGCUUGCCAUCAACCCCCUCACUUUCUAA
rnacentral:misc_RNA from 1 species